CCAAUAGCGUAUAUUAAAGUUGUUGCAGUUAAAAAGCUCGUAGUUGAAUUUCGGGAUCAAUAUGCCGGUCAUGCCUUGGUAUGCACUGGUAUCUUUGAUUUCUCCCUUCUGACGAACUUUGAUGUCAUUAAUUUGGUGUCAUAGGGAAUCAGGACUGUUACUUUGAAAAAAUUAGAGUGUUUAAAGCAGGCUCACGCUUGAAUACAUUAGCAUGGAAUAAUGAAAUAGGACGUUUGAUUCUAUUUUGUUGGUUUCUAGGAUCGACGUAAUGAUUAAUAGGGAUAGUUGGGGGCAUUAGUAUUCAAUUGUCAGAGGUGAAAUUCUUGGAUUUAUUGAAGACUAACUACUGCGAAAGCAUUUGCCAAGGAUGUUUUCAUUAAUCAAGAACGAAAGUUAGGGGAUCGAAGACGAUCAGAUACCGUCGUAGUCUUAACCAUAAACUAUGCCGACUAGGGAUCGGAUGAUGUUAAUUUUUUUAAUGACUCAUUCGGCGCCUUACG
rnacentral:rRNA from 1 species